GACGAACGCUGGCGGCGUGCUUAACACAUGCAAGUCGAACAGAGUGGCAAACGGGUGAGUAACACGUAAACAACCUGCCUUCAGGAUGGGGACAACAGACGGAAACGACUGCUAAUACCGAAUACCUGAAGAGGGGUUUGCGUCUGAUUAGGCAGUUGGUGGGGUAACGGCCCACCAAACCAACGAUCAGUAGCCGGUCUGAGAGGAUGAACGGCCACACUGGAACUGAGACACGGUCCAGACUCCGACGAGAGGCAGCAGUGGGGAAUUUUGGACAAUGGGGGCAACCCUGAUCCAGCCAUCCCGCGUGUGCGAUGAAGGCCUUCGGGUUGUAAAGCACUUUUGGCAGGAAAGCGGUACCUGCAGAAUAAGCACCGGCUAACUACGUGCCAGCAGCCGCGGUAAUAC
rnacentral:rRNA from 1 species